CCUACGGGUGGCAGCAGUGAGGAAUAUUGGUCAAUGGACGAGAGUCUGAACCAGCCAAGUAGCGUGAAGGAUGACUGCCCUAUGGGUUGUAAACUUCUUUUAUAUGGGAAUAAAACGUUCCACGUGUGGGAUUUUGUAUGUACCAUAUGAAUAAGGUUCGGCUAACUCCGUGCCAGCAGCCGCGGUAAUACGGAGGAUCCGAGCGUUAUCCGGAUUUAUUGGGUUUAAAGGGAGCGUAGGUGGAUUGUUAAGUCAGUUGUGAAAGUUUGCGGCUCAACCGUAAAAUUGCAGUUGAAACUGGCAGUCUUGAGUACAGUAGAGGUGGGCGGAAUUCGUGGUGUAGCGGUGAAAUGCUUAGAUAUCACGAAGAACUCCGAUUGCGAAGGCAGUUCACUGGACUGCAACUGACACUGAGGCUCGAAAGUGUGGGUAUCAAACAGGAUUAGAUACCCUAGUAGUC
rnacentral:rRNA from 1 species